UGCCUACGGGGGGCAGCAGUGAGGAAUAUUGGUCAAUGGGCGGGAGCCUGAACCAGCCAAGCCGCGUGAGGGAAGAAGGUACAGCGUAUCGUAAACCUCUUUUGUCAGGGAACAAAGGCGGGGACUAGUCCCCGGAUGAGGGUACCUGAAGAAAAAGCAUCGGCUAACUACGUGCCAGCAGCCGCGGUAAUACGUAGGUGGCAAGCGUUAUCCGGAUUUAUUGGGUGUAAAGGGCGUGUAGGCGGGA
rnacentral:rRNA from 1 species